ACGGCCGCAUUUGAUUACAGUAAGGCUCAGAGUUGAGGAACUUUUACAGGAUUACUGCCAGUUUCCUCCAGCACACACACACACACACACACAGACUGCUGGAUGCAUGGACCGUCUGGGUGAAACCGGAGUGGGGGAAGCUUUAAUGAGGGGUAUGAAGAGAUGAUGUUGAAGCCAGUCAGGGGAAACAGUGGGGAGUCUCCUUCGGAUCGUACAAUCCACUCGACUCAUGUUAUGUGGUUCAUUCUGUUUUGAUCCCAGUGAAGCUUCAAGAAGGAGUAAAAAGUAAUACGAGUUCAGAUGGUGACGAGGCCCGGGCCAAUCGCACCCAUUAAGACGGCAUUCAACCACCAACACUUAAAACGUACAGCAGUGAUGCCUAACAACUGUCCUAGACUCCACGACUAUCCUCCUGGCAGGGAUCGCUGAAUAUUUCAGACGAGCAAGGAACAUUCAGACUGCAGGAUUACAGUCCUUCUUUGGAGUUUGUAAGGCUUUUGGACUGCACUUUAUUUUGAAAGAAUUAGAUGCAGUCUGUUUGAUUCACUCUUGUGUUCUGUGGCACCAACCCCCCCACAUAGUGUAAAGCAACAAACUUAAUUUAGAGAUGUGCGAAAUAUCAGAAAAGCCAAACGAAGGACUUUAUAGAAAAUAGUUCUUUCAGUGGCAUUUAAAAAUUUCACAUGAGAGUAAUGAUUUCUUAAAAUGAUGUAAUCAUGUUUGCUAUACUUGGCAAUACACAAAUUAGGGGUUAAACACUAAACUGUGAAAGCUGA